rnacentral:tRNA from 4 species
UCUAAUAUGGCAGAUUAGUGCAAUGAAUUUAAGCUUCAUAAAUAAAAUUUUAUAAUUUUUAUUAGAA